GUGGGAGGCGGCACGGCGCCCGGCAGCCCCGCCUUCCUCCUUUCCCGCCGCGCACGCCGCCUCUGGCAAAGUCCGCCAACCUUAGCGCCUGGAGCCACAGACUGCGUGUCGUUUCUCCCGUCGGUGUGGUCUUCCCAACGCGUGGCCCAGCCCGGCCGUCUUGCAGAGCUGUUUUGCCCUAAGUUGCCGCUCUUUAAGCCACUCCGCUGGACAAAAAAUUAGCUUAUGGAAACAUGAACAUGCACCCAUAGGGACGAGGGCGAACAAAUCACAGGAUAGCCCUGCUUGGAGCAUCUACAACCGGAUCUGAAGCUACUGUGCGUCAGUCAUUGGAAUCCGGCAUCUUUCUGGAUAUUCAGACUGAAAACCAACCUUCGUGAACAAAUAAGCAAGCUCCAGGGAAAGAGCUCUUGAAAGACCACUGGUCUUACCUGCCUUCUGUAUUGCUUGUUGUCCCUUAUUAAAUUUCCUUUAAAAGCGGGGAGUGGUGGGGGUGCCUGGGUGAUGCCUCAGUUAAGUGUUCAACUCUUGAUCGUGGCUCAGGUCAUGAGCUUACAGUUCGUGGGUUCGGGCCCCAUCAGGCUUCAUGCUGGCGGCGUGGAGCCUGUCUGGGAUUCUGGCUCCUCUCUCUGCCCCUCCCCUACUCGUGUGUACUCUCUCUCUCAAAACUAAAUAAAGUUAAAAAAGAAAGGGGGAGUGGUGACUCAGUGUGGCUAAAAUUCUGGUAAUUUGUCAUUUCUAGAUGUUUAAUUUUUUAAAAAAAAAACAUAUUUAAAUAUACCUCCUGUCAGAAUAAAGUGAACUCUCCAAGGGGUGGGCACUCAACCCUGUGUCAGGUUCUUCCCCUCCAGUUCUAGGGAACCAAGAACAGGGUUAAAGACCUGACAGGAAAGGUCUAUUACUCACCAGAUUCCACAUUCACAGCCGACACUUAACAAGGUACCUGGGCUUGACCAGGCUUAACUUCUGGAAAUAGGUCCAGGAGUAAGGCAAGUGGUACAUAGUUCGUUAAAACUCUUGCCUUUGGUUCAAACUGGGGAUAAAGGAUAACUUUAGAAACAUGUUCACAGUUUAAAACAUUUGGUGGCAGAAAGUUUUAAUUUAUUUUUUUUUAACUCAGUAGCCUGAAAGCUUAAAUUAUCAAUCUGCACGAGACUUGGAAA